GGGUAAGUUUUUUACUUGACAGAGACUCCAGUGUGGAAUUUUCUGUAGCCUCCUCUUCCUGGCUUUCCACCGGUAAACUGUUGGACUCUUCUGUGUGCUCCCUCACGUGAUCGGCAGUGCUUUUGGCCAUGCUAUGGUCUGUGACUUCCUUGUCCUCUUUGGAACACUGCCUGCUGACCGUCUCUGGGAUCUCGGUGAUGCGCCUCAUGAUCGAACGGCCCAAGCCCUUCUUGGAGCACCGCUUUUUCUGAAGAGUGGCCUGUUCUGGACAUCUCAUAUACAUGGAGUCACACAAGAUGGGCCUUUGUGUCUAGCCUCUUUCACGUGGUGUAAUGUUUUCAAGGUGCGUACUAGCUAUAGUGCGUACUGGUGCUUUACUCCUUCUUAUGGUUGGGUAGUGCUGCAUUGUGUAGAUGACACUGCAUUGUGCUUCUACAUUUAUCAGUUGAUGGACAUUUGGAUGGUUUCCACUUCUUAGCUAUUAUCAAUAAGUCUGCUAGGAACAUCCAUGUACCUAAAUCUUCGUAUGAAUAUGUGUUUUGAUUCUUACCACUGAAUGAGCCGUCUGCAUAUGUAGUACCUCCAUUUAAUAAAAAUGUAACCAUAUAAUGCAAAGUAUGAAAAAGGAGAAGAUAAAUUGCAGUAACAGAUUAGUCCAUGAAAACU